UACGUAGGGUGCAAGCGUUAAUCGGAAUUACUGGGCGUAAAGCGUGCGCAGGCGGUUAUGUAAGACAGGGGUGAAAUCCCCGGGCUUAACCUGGGAACUGCAUUUGUGGCUGCAUAGCUAGAGUACGGUAGAGGGGGAUGGAAUUCCGCGUGUAGCAGUGAAAUGCGUAGAUAUGCGGAGGAACACCGAUGGCGAAGGCAAUCCCCUGGACCUGUACUGACGCUCAUGCACGAAAGCGUGGGGAGCAAACAGG
rnacentral:rRNA from 1 species